rnacentral:siRNA from 1 species
GUGAAUCUUCUUGGCGUGCAGUGA